UUUUUUUUUUUUUUUCACUCUAAGUAUUGAAUCCUUAUGUAGUCCACUACUGAAACACAGGCAGGGAAUAUAAUAUUAUGAAAGUUUGGUCAGACAAGUGUGGCCCAGCAUUUUCUUACAGGUAUUACCUGUUUCUAUUAAAUACCACUGUAGUGUUUCAAACCUAAGAAGUAAAGGACUGGGGUACUACAAGAUGCUCAGCUCCUGAAAUCUCCCAGAGUUAAGGUGAUCAGGUGUUUUCAUUAUCCAGUUGUUCAACCUGCCUAGUCCUUUCAGGCUCCUCUCUUAAGCUGUAGAAAAAAGAAAAAUGGCUCUGUUUUAAAGUAGUUAUUUUUCAGUAAAUUCACCCAUACCAAUAAACCCAAGAAAGCUGACUCAGUGUCAAGUGUCCACCCCAUUUUGCCAAGGUACACUGUGCCAUGUAUUUACUCUGGGGGAGCCUGCUAAUAGCAAAUAAUUCCAUCUUCUCAUUUUACCCAUGGCAAGGCUCAGAAGAUAACCUGCUGUUAGCAGAGGAGCCAUGGAAAGGGAGGUAGCCCAGGGUGCUCAGGAUAUAAAGAUGUGUGUGUUAGUGCAGGGGAGCAGCCAGCUCUUUGCACUGCUCAGUUACCUUGCGAUUUCAGCACCUCAGCUUGGCCCUGAUUGCCUCCAAUUCUGACAGCCAAUUCCUGACCUUUCACUCUCUUAUGAUCACUGCUGGUUUGUGCAAGAAACUCAGUCUCCUUCCUUGUCCAAAAAUUUUAAGCAAAUACUGUUGUUAGUAUGAUUGCCUCUGCAGUAUUGGCUUCUAGGAACCAAGAAAAAUCUCACAUCACCACUGUGUACAGUUACAUCAUCUCAACAUCAGAGCUGCCAACUCUCACUCUUUGCUGGAGAGUUAUUAUUUCUGCUUUAAUGAGAUGGAGUGACCUCAUGAGCUUCUGAAGAAAACCCACAGCUGCCUGCCAUACUGACAGAAUAAAGUGGUCAGAUGGGACUUGAGUUGAUAAAUGCUUCAAUACAGAAGCACCUGUGCUCAUGGCAAGAGAUCAGGUCCUCUCCAGUGAAGCAGAUCCUAAAUCUGAGCUACUCUUCUGUGUCCUUUUAAAGUGGUAGGCUGAGAAUGGAAAAGAAUAACAGUUGUCCACAGCUAAUCUGAAAUGUGUUGGGAUUAAAAAAAAAGAAAUCUGGCAUCAGUUCAAGCUUCAUUUUUAACUGAAACAAAUCUAAAUGUAAUUGAAAACAAGAACGUGCAUAGAAAUUACCAACCUGAUUCUUAUUUACACUGCAGAAUCUUUGCACCUCUCCAGCAAUGUGAAAGGUCUUGGAGCAUGGUUCAGUUAUUUCUACACUUCUAGGAUGGGCCUGUUUGUUGACAUGGAGCUCAGAAAUAUUUAUAGGAGUGUAGGAUUUGCCUUUCAGAGCAGUGGAAAGUCUGCACCUCGCGGCUGCUGGGUACUGUGCUUUUACUUAUUUAGGGUGUCCAGUUGGACUGUUGAGGGGAAAAUUAGGGUCUGGAACACAGUUGGUCAGAGGUUCAGUAAUGAAAUGUGAAGUGCCUCAUCAGCAGGUCAUUUUUGUGAAUCAAGUAGGCUUUGGUUAUUGGCUGGAAGCAAAGUGGCCUUUCAAGCCCAGGUAAAAGCAAAUGGUCUCUGGGCUAUGUCCUCGGCCAGAUGAUCUCAUCUCAGCUGGCAGCAUUUGACAGCCCCACCCUUGAUUUGAUGCUGUAGCUUUCACUGAGCAACCUAAAGGUGCUACAAGAUAAUGAAGUACCCUCGUGUCCUUAUGGGAGAAGACCUGCAGGUCAAGGUAUUCAGCAUCCCGAGUGGGACAGUGCAUGGAAAACUUCUUUUGCUGUUGCCUUUUCUAUGCCGAUUCUGAGGACUAACAGGCACCAUGAGGCUCCUGGGUGACUGAAUGCUUCUGCUGACAGCUUUAAAUUGGCUUAACCUUUGACGGAAUGGUAGAAAACGGAGAUGCAAAAUGAGACAGUGAAGGAAUGGUCAGGGAGAAACAGAGUCAUGAUGAAGCCAGCAGGAAAAGAAGGGAUUGAUUAUGUAGCUGUAAGAGGGCCCUGCCAACCUGCAGUGCAAGGGUAAGAACUCGAGCUGGUAACAGCCCUUUCUUGGGGCCUGUGUGUGUAAGGGAGGUGCUUUAUGCAUGGGGACUUUCCUUCUCCUGCUGUGCCAGUCCAGCUCUGCAGCCAAGAUUGUGGUUCUGCCAUGGCCCAGGUUCCCUCAGUCAGCUGCCUCCCACUGCCUGGGACAUAAACAGUUCCUCAGUGUUCCAAUUGUAACGGAAUAAACCAGGCCUGCGUCUGCCAUACAUUUCUUUUUAAAUGUUUUAUCAGUUGUCAUGGAUUUUUUUAAUGCAUGAACUCCAGGAUUUACAGAAGAAUUUAACUUUACAGUUUUAAAUGAAUGUUUUCUCUACAUCUGGAAACCACCAGAUGUUUUAAAACUUACUCAGAAUGAAAUAAAAGGACACAAAGUCAAUGUCUUAAAAAGUCCUGAGCACUAUUUGAGGAAUGUUGGAGAGGAAAAAAGAUGGAGAUAUUCAGGUUACUGCCAACACAAAGUACUUGACGCUGUUAUGCAACAUCUAACACAACAAAGCCUUGCUCAAGUGUUUUUUCACAUUUUGAAAAAAUUCACGUUUUUCACACUUUCACUUUUCUACUGCAGCACAAAUAUUUUAAUUCAUGCAGAACGGAGGAGGUCAAAAGCAAGAACAAGUUCAUACCUUCUGGCCAAGACAAGAAUGUUUUCAAGCUCCCCCUCAGCAAAGGAGCCAAACCACUAGCAAAUCACAGCUUCAAAAAUGUUUGACUAAUGCAAAAGUUUUAUGAAUCAAUAUUAAAAAUAGACCUCAAGAAUUGGCCUUUAAAAAUAUUAAUCCUGCUGCCCCAAAUUUCCUGUCACUCUUGGAUGUUGUAUUAAAUUUUGAUAUGAAAUGUAUUUUCCUGAAUUAGAAUUUGUCCUUAAAUUGCUUAUGAACAAUGAACUCUUUCAAGAAAAAUAACUGCUUUCUUAUCUCAAUAAUUAAUGCUGUGGUUUUUCUAAGUGGGUUUCCAUAGCUUAUCAAAUCCUUUCGUUCCUCUUAGUUGGAGGGGAACUGAAAAAUGUCUAUCCGUUAAUUCUCUUCAAUUUCAUUAUUUUAAAUCAGGUAAUAUUCCUUAUUUUACUUUGUUCAAAGUGGCUACAGGCCACUAUUCAUUCUUGUUCUCCCUUUUAAUAUCUUUAACCCAGAGAAACUCAAUCUCUUUUUUUCACUAACUUUCCAGCUGCUUUAACUAUGGAACAGUAUUAACACCAGGCUAUGUGUACCUAUGUUCUUUUGCGGCCAGUUUGGCUCUGCAGGAUCCCAGCGUGGUUGUGUUUGCCACUGAAGCACUGCCACCUGUGGGUGAAUCCCAUCCCUGAUUCCCCACAGCAGGGGAACGGGAGGGGAAGAUUCUAAAAGAGUGAUAAAAAUGUUUGUUCUGCACCAUUUCAAAGCUUAGUCAUGCUUACUUGUGAGUGUCACAUUAGUUUUGUGUGCAAAAGGGACAUUUCAACCCUUUGGCCCUCAGGCUGAUGCUGCAUUAGUGCUAAUAAGAUUAGUUAAAGCUGUAGCUAAUGAAAGAGUAGUGUAGCAGACUGUCUAGAUGGAAGGUGCCACCAGUGGCCUUGGCUUCUGGCAUGCCUUGAAGGCUUAAGGGCCUUUUCACAGGGACACAACACAUUACACAUGUUUCUGGUGGUGCCUUGCAGCAGACAGAGCUUGGAUCUGGGACCUUGUCACAAGAGCUCCAGGUAAUUUCUGCAGUGCUGGUAAGAAGAGAAAUGGUUCUUGAACACUUGAUCCAAACUCAAUGGCAAUCAACAGAACUUUGAAUCUUUUCUUUGGUGAACUCUGGAAGUUCUCCCAAGUCCUGGCUCCCAAAUAGCAUUAAAUUUCCUGAGUUCAAACCAGCCGCAGAGCUUAAUCAAAUAAACCAUUUGAUCCCAUAAGAAAUCUUGGAGUGUGGUGUGAGAUGCAGACCUGCCCUGCUUGGCACUGGUGGCGCUGAAGACAUAUCCCAGAGCAUGGUCCAUGUUCACUGCUGGAUGAAGUGUGAGUAGAUUUCAAAUGCUCUUCCUAUCAGGAUUCAGAGAGGAGGAUGAGCAAGGGAUGAGUGUGAAACAGGCAGAGCUUUGAAAGAUGGGAGACAUCAGUGUAUGGAGCUCAAGGAACAGCACUGGUCAUGCUGAGCCUUGCUUUUAAAGGCACAUAGUUUCAUUUGUGAGGCCAUGGUUUCUUGGUGAUGGGCAGAAUGGUUGAUUAGAGGACUAUGAAAAUCUGAUUAUGAGGAGUCACCUGAUUUUGAAUGUGUCUGUAUUUGAAUUCUGUGAAAUCCUUGGGAGUGUCAAUGGCUACAAGAAAAACACGUGAAGAUUAGGUGAACUGCACAAUUUCUAGUUCAGGUAAUCAUUUAAGCACAAUUUUACUGGCUUCAGGAACUGCAAGAAUAUAUCCAAAAGUAGUUGUUUCUUCUACUGGAGCUAACAGCUAUGAAUUGUAGCAACUGUGUCAUUAUAUAUUGUUCAUUGUUUUUGGAACCCUGAGAAGUACAGGUAUGUCAUCAGAGUGAAUAUGUAUAGUUCCAUACAGUAACAUGUUCUUUGUUCUUUCAUUUAUGCAAAAAAAAAAAAAA
ensembl:lncRNA